CCCUUAGAUGUUCUGGGCCGCACGCGCGCUACACUGAUGCAUUCAACAAGCCUAGCCUUUACCGAGAGGUCCGGGUAAUCUUUGAAACUGCAUCGUGAUGGGGCUAGAUUAUUGCAAUUAUUAAUCUUCAACGAGGAAUGCCUAGUAAGCGUGAUUCAUCAAAUCGCGUUGAUUACGUCCCUGCCCUUUGUACACACCGCCCGUCGCUCCUACCGAUUGAAUGUGUUGGUGAGGAGCUCGGAUUGGCAGCAGUUGGUGGUUCGCCACCGGCUAUUGCUGAGAAGUCCUCCAAACCGCCCCAUUUAGAGGAAGGAGAAGUCGUAACA
rnacentral:rRNA from 1 species